rnacentral:tRNA from 1 species
UGCCCUGUCGUCUAACGGUAGGACACCUGAUUCUGGAUCAGGUUGUUGAGGUUCGAAUCCUUGCAGGGCAA